AUACGUUCGUUUUCCUUAGGGAAAUGCAUAUUAGGGCAACAGGGAACGGGGUUGCCU
rnacentral:ncRNA from 2 species